rnacentral:rRNA from 1 species
UGAAAUCCCCGGGCUCAACCUGGGAACUGCAUUCGAAACUGGCAGGCUAGAGUCUUGUAGAGGGGGGUAGAAUUCCAGGUGUAGCGGUGAAAUGCGUAGAGAUCUGGAGGAAUACCGGUGGCGAAGGCGGCCCCCUGGACAAAGACUGACGCUCAGGUGCGAAAGCGUGGGGAGCAAACAGGAUUAGAUACCCUGGUAGUCCACGCCGUAAACGAUGUCGAUUUGGAGGUUGUGCCCUUGAGGCGUGGCUUCCGGAGCUAACGCGUUAAAUCGACCGCCUGGGGAGUACGGCCGCAAGGUUAAAACUCAAAUGAAUUGACGGGGGCCCGCACAAGCGGUGGAGCAUGUGGUUUAAUUCGAUGCAACGCGAAGAACCUUACCUGGUCUUGACAUCCACAGAACUUUCCAGAGAUGGAUUGGUGCCUUCGGGAACUGUGAGACAGGUGCUGCAUGGCUGUCGUCAGCUCGUGUUGUGAAAUGUUGGGUUAAGUCCCGCAACGAGCGCAACCCUUAUCCUUUGUUGCCAGCGGUCCGGCCGGGAACUCAAAGGAGACUGCCAGUGAUAAACUGGAGGAAGGUGGGGAUGACGUCAAGUCAUCAUGGCCCUUACGACCAGGGCUACACACGUGCUACAAUGGCAUAUACAAAGAGAAGCGACCUCGCGAGAGCAAGCGGACCUCAUAAAGUAUGUCGUAGUCCGGAUUGGAGUCUGCAACUCGACUCCAUGAAGUCGGAAUCGCUAGUAAUCGUAGAUCAGAAUGCUACGGUGAAUACGUUCCCGGGCCUUGUACACACCGCCCGUCACACCAUGGGAGUGGGUUGCAAAAGAAGUAGGUAGCUUAACCUUCGGGA